GAUGAACGCUAGCUACAGGCUUAACACAUGCAAGUCGAGGGGUAACGAGAGGAAAGCUUGCUUUCCUUGUCGACGACCGGCGCACGGGUGAGUAACGCGUAUCCAACCUGCCCCCAACUAGGGAAUAACCUUGCGAAAGUAAGACUAAUACCCUAUAAUUUCCUCAGAUGUCAUCUGUCGAGGAAUAAAGAUUUAUCGGUUGUGGAUGGGGAUGCGUCUGAUUAGCUUGUUGGCGGGGUAACGGCCCACCAAGGCAACGAUAAGUAGGGGUUAUGAGAGGAAGGUCCCCCACAUUGGAACUGAGACACGGUCCAAACUCCUACGGGAGGCAGCAGUGAGGAAUAUUGGUCAAUGGGCGAAAGCCUUAACCAGCCAAGUAGCGUGCAGGAUGACGGCCCUAUGGGUUGUAAACUGCUUUUAUACAGGAAUAAAGUUAGCCACGUGUGGUUAUUUGUAGGUACUGUAUGAAUAAGGACCGGCUAAUUCCGUGCCAGCCGCCGCGGUAA
rnacentral:rRNA from 1 species